CGGUGCACAGCAGUUUCCACAGUCUCACCGCUGCAGUUCUGCUGCUCCUGGAGCAUCUACAUCCCACCUUCUGUUUACAGACAAGCCCUGGGGAGGCCGCCGGGCAAAAGCAAACCCUGGUGCUAAAGAAGUAUCCUGACAAAAUAGUUACAGCGUCAGCAAGAGAGUGGUGAGUUGCAAAUAAAUCUGAAAUCAUCUGAGCCCCGCAUCCAAGCUGGGGACUGAAUUCAAAUACUCCGUGCCUUGUCUGGGGUCCUUAAAUCAUUUUCUGACCAGGAUCCUCCUUCCAGAAACUGGGAGGUGGCCUGAGGAAUUUGGGAUCACCAGGGCGCCAAUGGUCUGAUUUUUGGCAACAUGUCAGCUCAGUUCCUAGAACCUGCUGAUGAUAAGGUCUGUGAUGACCAUCUGUCGCCCUGGCCAACCCCAGCCCGCGUUCCCGUUUCUUCCGGAAACAGCAUCUCAGUUUUCUUGGGGAGAACCUCCCUGCCCCCACUCCCAGUAGUCUCUGUUCAGUUGGCUCUGACUCCGCCCCCAGCUGCACGUGGGGGGCGUGGCCUCCAGCGGGCCCUUUUUUAGCCACUCCUGCGGCAGGAGAGGUCUUUUCCUCAAGUUCCUGCAAGGGACCGGAUUGGCCCCUUUGGGUCAUGUGCCCAUCCAGGCACGGAGGCGGGCGCUUGGGGCACCGUGAUUGGAUGGACUUGGGUCACGUGCCGCCUCUGAAGGAGGGGGAGGGCUAGGUGGCUCGCAGCUGCGCUGGCUCAGGGACGCGCUCCCCUCGGAAGUGCUGGGGUGAGCAGGGGGGGACGACCUCUCUCCCUGCUUCAGCGCACAGCCGCCUAUGAGGAAGGCACCAGUGUCACCCCAACCCCACAGAGAAGGCGGGGACGCUCGGGGUGUCUUAGUUGCUUGUCCCAAGUCACAGCAGGAAGUGGUAGACUUUCUUAAUGGGGGAGAAGAGGGCUGUGAGGAGCGCGGCGUGUUGCCAUCUGCUUCGUGGACCUCUGCCUGGGCCGCGUCGGAGGGUUUCUCUCCGGGAGAGGCGAGUGGCUCCGUAAGUGGGAGCAGGUCCUAUAUGAUAGACUGUGGCUAGAGGACUGAUCUUGGGGUCAUCGAACUGCGUGGGUGCAGUAGACGUGCAAAUAGAGGACUUUGACUUUCUGAGCCUCGGCUUUCCUCGUCUGCGGAAAGGGAGCGGUAGCAGCCCACGCCAGCAUUACUGGGAGGAUUCAGCGAGUUAAUGUUUGCAGAAGUCCUUUGGAAACGGUGGUGGCCCCAUGGGUUUGCUUUUCCCCUACUCCGGACCCCUUCCCCACUCCUUACUGUCAAGGUGGCGCCCAGAAGCGUCUGCUUUCUGCAGUGCUGAUGUGACGAAUCUGUUGGAUGGCGUUGGGUUAAGAGUGGUCCUCUGGGACCCAGAAUAGCUAACAGUGGCCACCCGUCGAGUGUCCCAGCCACCGGGGACUUCCCAUGCAGUCACCUCACCCUCACCUUACUCCCCAAGAGGUGGAUGGAUGCGACCGCCUGGAGAUGCCGAGGGCUGUCCUGCCAGCUCGUGGGGAGACCCCGUCCACCAGCAGCGUGGAAGCAGCAGGGCCAGGAGAUGGAGAAUCCAGAGAGAUUUCUUCACCUACAGGACCCAGCUGGGCAUGUCUCUGGACUUCUCAGGUGAAUCGAAGGAACUUGACCAAGACCCCACAGAGAGGAAGUGGAUGAGUCCAGAUUCAACCGGGAUGUGUUGGACCCGGGCUGGUCCCUCCCUGCCUCAGACUUUGGGCCUCCCUCCUUGAACUUCAAGACGCGUGGGCCCCAGAACCCUUUCUAGUUCUCUCUGUCGCUAAGGGGUAAGCAUUUUUACUCCUUGGUACGGUAGCUGCUUAAAGUGUCACAUUUUCAAGGUGAAAGAAAAUGCCAUCCGAGUCGUUUGAAUGCGUCUUAUUUUUUUUUAAAUUAAUCUCCUAUAAAAGGUAAGGGUGAGGGAUGUGCAGAGCUCUUAACAGCACCAACGGCCUCCCCCACUCAUUGCGGGCUCCGGUUGGGGCGUCGGGAGAGACGUGGAAAAUGGGAAAGAAGGCACCAGCAGUGCAACCUGCAGGCCAUAUUUUCAGAGCCCCAGUAGGUUCUCGAGCCUUGGUGACGCGUGAGAAGUUUGUGGAAAAUGCCAGCAGUCGGGCCUCACCUCACGGCCUUCCGUUCCGUAGCUCUGGGGUGGGCGAGAAGUUAGGCUUUCCACAUGCUCCCCACUCGCAUUUUGGUGCAGGGCACCCACAGACCCUGCUUUGUGGAAUUCUACAUCAGACCUCCCAUCCCUGCCAGUAACAGCUCCGAGGCUGAGCACUGGGGCGACUUAAGACUUUGAACUGGCUUCAGAGCAGUUUGGUGUCUUGGGCUCAGGGGACCCUCAGUCAAUUUCAAGCUUCACUCCGAGCCAGUCUGUGCAACUUCUCUGAGCCUUAGGGAAGUAAGCAAUGUGAGCUCCUAAGCCGAGUGAACUCACGAAAGAAAUGUCACCUAGUUCAUUGUGGCUCGAACAGACUGGCAAGAGAUUAGGCUUCCAGAAUGGGUGGGGCCUCGUCCACCUCCAGAAGUCUGAACUUCUUGCUCUCUGGCAGUGGGGAGCCCUGAGAAGAUCCAGAACAAGGAAUAAUGGGAGUAGGGGGGGCAGGAAGACAGGUGUGUAAGAAACUAAGCAGGAAUGGACACUGGCCUGACCUAAACUGUUGGAAAGAACCAACAGUUCUCUAGAGAGGUAGAAAUGUUACCUCUCUAGAGAGGUAACAGGGAGAGGUGAAACCAAGGUCUCAGAGACUGAGCCAGUGUAGGAGAACUCUGGGCGCCCCUCCAUGCUUAACAUCCGAUAAAGCAGUGCCCGGCACAUUAUAGACACCCCAAAAUAAUUAUUGGAUGAAUGAACAACUGAAUGAAUUUUCUUAGUUCUAGACCCUGUCUGGUUAUGGGGAACAGAUGAAAUCUUCAUAUGAAAACACUAGAAACUUGCACAUAUUCAGAAAGUGGUUCAGCUACCGAAAUAGAGACCCGAGAUGGCAAUGGCUACAAUGUAAUAGAAGCUUAUCUUUCUUUCUCAGGCAGCAGGAUGCUUAAGCAUAUGGGGCUAGUAGGGCGGCUUCCUAAUCAUCUGAAACCCAGGCCCCUUCUCUCUUAUUCUUCCAUCGUCCAGACACGGUUUCCAUCUCAUGGCCCAAUAUGGCUGCUCUAGCUCCUGCCACCACAUCUGUACUCCAGCUGUCUUCAUUUUACCUGUGAGUUAGCCAACGGCAAAGGAGAAAGGGUGUGCACAUCCUUUAACGACAUGACCCAAAUGUUGUAAACGUCCCUUCUCGGCAUUUAUCAUUGGCCAGUAUUCAGUGAUGUGGCCACACUUGGCUGCAGGAGCAGCUGGGAAUUGUAGUCUUACUCCAACACUCAUCUUCCCAGCAGGAACACGAGGGUCCGACGCCUAAAGGGAAGAGGCGCAUAGAUACUGGGAGACACGGAACGUGCCAGGAAUUCAGCAUUCGAAGCCCCUUUGGCAAGUUUUCACACUCGUUAAAUCUGGACGGCGUAUCGGAGGCAGCCUCCCCACACGGGAGGAACAGGAGGGUGACGAUUGUCCUGUGCGCCCAGCAGCGUCUGCCUGAGGGGUCUUCACGGGGGCAUCCAGGGAUCUUUCCAGAAGCCUUUAUACACUUGGUAAGGACUCUCUAGCAGGGACAGCCUGGCGUGCAGGGCCACCACGGACGCUUGUUGGGAGCUCAGCGUUUGUCGGGUGCCGUAUUAACUGCUUUACAUCCAUUGACGUGAUGAACUGUCACCCCACCUCUGUGGAAGGAGACUGUUUUUCUCCCUCUUACAGAGAUGAAGAAAUUGUGGCUGAUUAAGAUUAAGCCACUUGCCAGCGGGUCCCACGGCCCCUGAAGGAGGAGCUGGGCGCCAAAGGCCCUGCAUGUGGCCAAGAGGCCCGUUGGGACAAAUCACACCAGCUGCCUUCCUACACUUAAUCUAAAGGACGGUGACCUAAGUAUUAAAGAACUGCAGAGGCGAAGGGAGAACACGAAGCCGCCGCUGAGGGCGUGAGUUUGGGGAGCGUCUGCUGCGCCAGGGCUGGGGGUCCCAGGGAAGGCCGGACCUGCCGAGACUUCGAAGGGCCCGAAGCGGGGCUCCGGCCGGCCGCAGAGCGGCACCGUGACCCUGCUGGGGCCACCGCGUCCCGGCUGGAUGCUGACACCAUCAGGAGGCCGGUGCUGGACGGGCAAGCAGACGGGAGAGACUGUGCUUCCCCGUCCUCCAGCCCCUCCCAGCCGGCAGAGAAGACAGGUGGCGUCCAGAGCCCCAGCCCAGUGUCGCGGGAGAGCAGAGAGGGCAGGUUGGGGCUCAGGGACAAACCUUAAUCAUCACACGUCUGACAGCCUCCUUCUUUCCCUGCCUGAUGCCGGGAACCAGGGGGGCUUUAGGGAGAGUUUAGAUGGUGUCAGUCAGGACUGGCCCGAGAGGUGGGCCAGGUGCGUCAGGAUCCUUCGGUGAGGGCCUCUCGCUCCCAGGACCCCGGCCUUUGUUGUGUGUUCCCGAAGCAUGCGGUUCCGGAGGCAGCCCCUGGGUGUCCACUUUCCUGACGGAGGCGGACACAUGAGGCCCCUGGUGGGCCGGUUCUGCCCUGUUUCUGGUGGAGACCCAGCCCAGGACCGCUCGUCGUGAACUCCCCGUGGUUUCUGAAGGCACCUAGUACCCUCUCCCGAUUCUCUUCGAAACAGGUAGGACGGCUCUUCUGUUUCUGUCGCUGAACUCUGCCUACUUCAGUUGCGCCUGCAAUCUUCACGACAAUGAUUCCAUCUUACAGAUGAGAAAGCGGAGGCCUGUGAUGAGGAAACUGAGGCACAGAGAUCCUGAAGAUUGAACAUCAGAUCAUAAUAAUCAGGACCGUGCGUUGGGUGCUUUUUAGGCCCAGACACUGCGCUUUGCUGAGCGUCUUCUCGCCGGGGACCCCUGUAGAGCGGAGCUGAAUUGGAGGUGAAGCAUAAUGGAGUAAAGCGAACACGAGGAGGAAAUCAAAAGUUCCAGGAGACAAGUUCCACCAAACUGGAGCAGAUUGCUUCCAGCAGAAGCAAAAGCAACUCAUUUCCGGAGUCAAGAGAGAGGAAAGCAAGUGGAAACUUCCAGCGUUGGGGCCUCCAUGAGUGUUCAAUGCAAAGUGCCCUGUUCUGUUAGGUGGAGACAGCCGUGUAGCUUCUACCUCAUUCUCUCCCACACAUAUGCCCCACCCUGGCCCUUACCCACCAGAGACAGAACUUCCUGGUGGGGGGAAUAGGGUUUCUUGGAAUCCUCACUCCCAGAGGAGAGGGUGUAGACCCAGCUGAAGAGAGAAGCUGAGAGGUUAUCCAAGCCCAGAGAGGCAAACCCGUGCCUCUAGCGGACAGGCAGGUGCAGCUGGAAGGGAACAAGUUAGUUACAAGGCCACGGUGGCCAACCGCUGUCUGGCCCUGCUUCCCUGCCUGCCUGCCCGCCCCAACACCUGUCCUGAAGUGAUACGAUUUGUGAAACAAGGCCCCUGCCAAUCCUCUGGACAAAGUCAACAACUCGUGUUGACUCUGCUGAUUCUAAAAAGUAAUGGUUACUGUUAUCCAAUAAUGCAACAUAAUGGGAAGUUGAGCUUAUUUUUAGGCAGAAUUCACACGGAUUUUAGAGCAUCAUAUGGUCUGAAGGGGACACUUCUCUUACAUUUUCCUAGAGUUUAAAGGGAAGUUAGGGGCACGUGGGUAGCUCAGUCCAUUAAACAUCCAACUCUUGAUUUCGGCUCAGCUCAUGAUCUCCCCUUGGUAAGUUAAAUUCAUCAGCAGAGAUGGCCAAUGUGGGCAUUUACCAAGGACUCUGGGGGCAAUCCUUCCAAACACGUGGGAUUGUUUCAAGGGCAAAGGUAACAGCUCAGCAGAGAAAUGGCUUCUGUUUCCUACCUUGAAACCCCACCCAGUGAGCCCAGCCCAAGGAUGUGACUAGUGCCUUCCCAACACUAGGAAUCUGAGGACAACUGGGUGCGCCCUUGACUCUUAUACGUUCAGGCCGACAACAUCGGGCAGGUCGCUUUGGCUCUCCAGGCCUCAGUGGCCUAAUCUGCAAAAGGGAAAUAACCACGCUUUCCGAUGCUGUUAGGUGAGCCCAUGGAUGGCAAAUGUGGGGCACUGUAGCAUCUGGCGCUACCAGGCGCUUCACAUACACUGGGAGCGGCUGCUAAAGCCACUGGGACCAUGAAGCCACACUGUGCAUGUGCAGCGAGGGCAGCCCAGGGAUAGAGGCAGCAAGAAGGGCUUGCGCAUUGGCUCCGGGUACCCUGAAGCGACUCCCACCUCUGAGAACCGUUAGUGGGCGUCUACCACCACCGUUGCUUCCCCUUCAGCCUUCCUCAAGCUUCCAGAAUUCCCUCCUAGGCUCGCACCCCACCUCCACGCAGCCCACGCUUGGGGGACGGGUGACUCCACCCCCUUGCUCCAAGGGUAGGCCCUGAUUGGCUUACAGGGAGCAGCGGUUUCCACGCGAGCCAGUCAUUGGUUCGCAGGCGAGCAUGUGACCCGGGGGGGGCCAAUCAGGGCGCAUCUUGUUUUGUCCUGUGCUUGCCUUCUGGGGAAAGAGCCUACGUGCGGAAGGGUGGACCCGCUGGGGUGCGGCUGGCCUCGCAGAGGUGUCGCUGAGCCCGCAGAGCGGAGAAACCGCGAACACUUGCGCACCGGUGGCGUUGUGAAGCUUCUGGAUCAUCCACCCGGAGGCUUGAGCUUACCGGCGCUUUCUGCGUGCGUGAUACCGAUCCCCUCCAUUGCGCCAGCCAGUUCAAGUGGCCUUUCUCCAUGACUCGUAACUGGAAACAUCCCGUCGCGCGGAACUUUUAUAAGAAGCAAUCGUCUGCUUUCAUGUCUGCGUUCACGGCUUCUCACCAGCGUGUAGGACACCUCAGGCACUUAAUCGUUGCUUGUUGAAUCCAUCGGACAUGACUUACCCCGUGGAACUUGGCGGUCUCUGUGAGAAAUGAGGAGACAUGUGGUUUGAAUCUAAAUAAGAUGUUGAGACAAGCUGAGACCAAGUCCCAGCGCUAGUCCUACGAGCCGUCAAGGUUGUCAUCCUUAAUCCUCCUUGAAGUGACCGUAUAAUGCUGUUGUGAGUGACAACCCCGUAUGAACCAGCUGGGCCUCGGGGAAAGAUUCACGGAGAGGAGGGGAGGAUGUCUCCUUAAAAGGGCACCGUCUGGGAGUCGUUUUUGAUUAGGAGCUGACCUCAGAAAUAUGCUCGCAUCAUUUUGAAAACAUCUUCCAGCACCACAGAAACCGACUCAGAAUGAGAAAGGACACUGAGUGGACGAGGGCCAGGACUGGAUCUGGAGGCAGAAGUCCACAGUCAAGGUGUCAGGAGGGCCAACCUUCCUCCCAAGGCUCCAGGGAGGAAUCCAGUAUUUUCUCCAGCUGCUGGUGGCCACGGAACUCCGCUCUCUGCCUACAUCUCCACAGCCUUUUCUGAGUCUUUCCCUCUUCUGAUAUGGAGGGAGCGCCCAGCACGUUCCAGGGCCAGUCACGGGGAGCUGAAACCAUCCCAGCAGAUUCAGUGCCCGCCCUCACGGAGCUGACCGUGCAGUGGGGGAGGCAGACCCAGCAAAACCAGAAACACAACUGCACGUUGCAGGGAGAGCUGCCAAGGGAACGAGGGAGAGGCGAGGCCAGUAAGGGUGGGGUGGGGUGGGCCAGCUCUAACCAGGGAGGGCAGGGAAGGCGUCUCAGAAGAUGGGGCCCGUAAGCUGGGCGCUGGAUGCUGAUAAGGACCUGGUUGGAACCUCCCCCUCUCUCCUUAACUGUGCGAUCUCGGCCGAGUUGCCUAAUCUCUCUGUGCCUCAGUUUCCUCUUCUGUAAAAUGUUGAUGGUGACAACACGUCGUUGGUGAGCCGUCCUGAGGACCGGGUGAGCGAGCCCAGGAAGAGCCCUCAGAAAGAACUUCAGGGUUCCUAGAACCUGCCCAGUGAGCGAUAGCUAAUCCUCAUAAUCCAGUACUUAAAUGUUAACAUUAUUAGCACAUGAGCAGAGGGAUGCACCCACAUUUUGUCAAUCAUUUGAGGGAUAUUUAUUUUUAAGAAUGAAAAAGACAUCAAAGUAAGGAUCGUGUAACAGUCUGAAACGCCUUGGGCUUCCUCACUCUUAUAACAGCUUCACUUUGGGUUUUGUCUGAAUGAUACUAGGAGGCAUGAGAUGUCAUAUUCUAUUCAGGGCUCAGGGAUUUAAAACCUUUGGAGAGGCUGGCCGAAGUGCCUGUGACUCCAGUCACUACUUUGGGCAGAGCAGGCUGAGUCCUUGUGAUUCAGCCCACGAUCCAGGGAUGGACUCGGCCAGCAAGGCUCUGGGCUCCUACACCUUGUCGCCUCAGCAGAUUGUGGACUGAGGUCAGGCUAACCUUGUCCUGAGGCGAGACCCAGAGAAGGGACAGAGAAGCCCCGGGGGAGCUGCUCUGGCUGGGGGCGCACGUGGGGAGAGCCCUGGGCCCAGGCUCCAGGCUUGCGGAUCCCCAGCUGGGCCUCCAGAAUCUGUCCCUCUAGGGGGCAGUAGGGCUCCACUGAGUGUCCCCAUCUCCGUCUCCCAGAGGCCAGGAAAUGCUCCUGCCUUAGGACCCGCCUCUGGCCUCUGUGUUCGGCACGAAGGGGAAUUUCUGCACAGACUUCGCCUUGGCUGGGCCCAGAGGUUGUGUCUUUUCACGCUCAGGUGUUGUGAGGCCAGGGGCAGGGGCGGGAUGCUCCUUAGGAAGUUCAUGUCACUGUAACACGAAUCUUUCUAAAAAUCAGAAGUCCAACAGCUGCAUGCACGUGGGGGACACGUUGGGGUUCCAGGCCAGCAUAGGAAGGCCACCUCCUGUGGCCGGGGAAGGUAGGCGGAUUUCUAAGGCUAAACGUGUGCACGUGGAGGGGCGCCUGGGAGGCUCAGUCGGGUAAGCGUCCUACUCCCACUCAGGUCAUGAUCUCACGGUGUGUGAGUUCAAGCCCCUUGUUGGGCUGUGCACUGACAGGGUGGAGCCCGCUUGGG